CAUGUGGAUUCCCAGAACUGAACCUGGGGUCCUCUAAGAGCAAGUGCUUCCAGCUUCAGGGGAACCAAUAUCCUCUUCUGGUUUUCACUGUAAGCUGUGUACCCAUUGCCCACACUCAGACAUUACAAAUAAGUAAAUACGGACAUGAGACUUGAAGUACUGGGUCAGACUCCCAUCACCACAUGAACCAUACAUGAUGUGUGUUUGUAACCCCAGCAUUCAGGAGGUAUAGGCAGAGGGAUCAGGAGUUGAAGGUUAUCUUCAGCUAUAUAAGUUCAAGGCCAGCCUGAGCUUAUGUGUUACCCUACUUCAAAAAAGAAAAAGUUUGCAAAUGUCAGAAACUAACCCAAACUACUAUGAGAUCAUGUGAUUCAGAGCCAGUCUUAAGCCUCCUUCCAUCUAUAAUUAAUGGAUUAAAAGCAUCCUAAAAUAUU